rnacentral:rRNA from 1 species
UACGUAUGUCGCAAGCGUUAUCCGGAAUUAUUGGGCAUAAAGGGCAUCUAGGCGGCCCUGUAAGUCUAGGGUGAAAACCUGCGGCUCAACCGCAGGCUUGCCCCGGAAACUACAGGGCUAGAGUAUCGGAGAGGUGGACGGAACUGCACGAGUAGAGGUGAAAUUCGUAGAUAUGUGCAGGAAUGCCGAUGAUGAAGAUAGUUCACUGGACGGCAACUGACGCUGAAGUGCGAAAGCUAGGGGAGCAAACAGG